rnacentral:rRNA from 1 species
AGUGAACGCUGGCGGUAGGCCUAACACAUGCAAGUCGAACGGCAGCACAGUAAGAGCUUGCUCUUACGGGUGGCGAGUGGCGGACGGGUGAGGAAUACAUCGGAAUCUACUUUUUCGGGGGGGAUAACGUAGGGAAACUUACGCUAAUACCGCAUACGACCUACGGGUGAAAGCAGGGGAUCUUCGGACCUUGCGCGAUUGAAUGAGCCGAUGUCGGAUUAGCUAGUUGGCGGGGUAAAGGCCCACCAAGGCGACGAUCCGUAGCUGGUCUGAGAGGAUGAUCAGCCACACUGGAACUGAGACACGGUCCAGACUCCUACGGGAGGCAGCAGUGGGGAAUAUUGGACAAUGGGCGCAAGCCUGAUCCAGCCAUACCGCGUGGGUGAAGAGGGCCUUCGGGUUGUAAAGCCCUUUUGUUGGGAAAGAAAAGCAGCAGGUUAAUACCCCGCUGUUCUGACGGUACCCAAAGAAUAAGCACCGGCUAACUUCGUG